rnacentral:misc_RNA from 1 species
AUGAAUGAAUGUAGAGUCGGUUGUAGCUGGCCUCCUCGAGGCAUGUGCACGCCUUCUCUUUCAUCCACACACCCCUGUGCACUUGUGAGACGGAGACCAAGGUCCUUUAACCGGGACGGUUUCCGUCUAUUGAUACAUAAAAUCUAAUUAAUUAAAUCUGAAUGUAAUUUGAUGUAACGCAUCUAAUAC